rnacentral:antisense_RNA from 1 species
CUGAACUCCCACUCCCCGUCGGCGCCGUCGAGGGCGGCGUCGCCGAGGUGGUCGCCGCCGGCCAGGGCUUCGAGGACGGUCUCGUCGCCGUACUUGCCGGUGCCGACCCGGUCGACCCGGCCGUGCGCGAUCAGCACGACCCGGUCGUGCGGCGCACCGGCCUGGGCGAUCAACUCGCCCGGCGCGUACUCGUGUUGGGCGAACCUCUCGCCGAGCGCCGAGAGCACCUCGGUGUCGGUGAAGUCCCGCAGGGCGGGCAGUUCGCGCAGCUCGUCGGGGAUGAUCGUGAUCGCGUUGCCGUCGAUGUCGAAGUCGAUCCGCCCGUCGCCGACGGUGUACGCCAGGCGUCGGUUGACACGGUACGUACCGCCUGAGACCUGGACCCAGGGCAGCAGCCGCAGCAGCCAGCGGGAGGUGAUCCCCUGCAUCUGCGGCGCGGUCUUGGUGGUCGUCGCCAAAUUCCGUGCAGCGGCCGUACUCAGGCUGGAAAUUUGGCUCUCUUCGGCGCUUCCG